rnacentral:rRNA from 1 species
GUGGGGAAUCUUAGACAAUGGGGGAAACCCUGAUCUAGCCAUGCCGCGUGAGCGAUGAAGGCCUUAGGGUUGUAAAGCUCUUUCAGCUGGGAAGAUAAUGACGGUACCAGCAGAAGAAGCCCCGGCUAACUCCGUGCCAGCAGCCGCGGUAAUACGGAGGGGGCUAGCGUUGUUCGGAAUUACUGGGCGUAAAGCGCACGUAGGCGGAUCAGAAAGUCAGAGGUGAAAUCCCAGGGCUCAACCUUGGAACUGCCUUUGAAACUCCUGGUCUUGAGGUCGAGAGAGGUGAGUGGAAGUCCGAGUGUAGAGGUGAAAUUCGUAGAUAUUCGGAGGAACACCAGUGGCGAAGGCGGCUCACUGGCUCGAUACUGACGCUGAGGUGCGAAAGCGUGGGGAGCAAACAGGAUUAGAAACCCCUGUAGUCC